rnacentral:rRNA from 1 species
GAUGAACGCUGGCGGCGUGCUUAACACAUGCAAGUCGAACGAAGCACUUUACCUGAUUUCCUUCGGGGAUGAUUGUUCUGUGACUGAGUGGCGGACGGGUGAGUAACGCGUGGAUAACCUGCCUCACACAGGGGGAUAACAGUUGGAAACGACUGCUAAUACCGUAUAAGCGCACAGCACCGCAUGGUGCAGUGUGAAAAACUCCGGUGGUGUGAGAUGGAUCCGCGUCUGAUUAGCUUGUUGGCGGGGUAACGGCCCACCAAGGCGACGAUCAGUAGCCGGCCUGAGAGGGCGACCGGCCACAUUGGGACUGAGACACGGCCCAGACUCCUACGGGAGGCAGCAGUGGGGAAUAUUGCACAAUGGGGGAAACCCUGAUGCAGCGACGCCGCGUGAGCGAUGAAGUAUUUCGGUAUGUAAAGCUCUAUCAGCAGGGAAGAUAAUGACGGUACCUGACUAAGAAGCUCCGGCUAAAU